rnacentral:misc_RNA from 1 species
AACCAUUCUCACCUGCGGCUAGACCUGCGGAGGGAUCAUCAUCGAAUUCAUAUCCCCCUCCUCUCCCGGAGGGGGACCCAUGAUAAACCCUUCUGUGCACCGUAAACCGUUCACUUUGGCAGGCUUUGGUGGUGAGCGUGAGCUCGCCUCCAACCUCGCGUUCCUCCCUCACUGAGGGCGUUACGCGUGGCGGCCUGCCGGAGUCCCAUUAAAAAACUCGUUUUCGAACACGUCUGAAAA